GACGGAGGAUGCAAGUGUUAUCCGGAAUCACUGGGCGUAAAGCGUCUGUAGGUGGUUUAAUAAGUCAACUGUUAAAUCUUGAGGCUCAACCUCAAAAUCGCAGUCGAAACUAUUAGGCUAGAGUAUAGUAGGGGUAAAGGGAAUUUCCAGUGGAGCGGUGAAAUGCGUAGAGAUUGGAAAGAACACCGAUGGCGAAGGCACUUUACUGGGCUACUACUAACACUCAGAGACGAAAGCUAGGGUAGCAAAUGGG
rnacentral:rRNA from 1 species